rnacentral:rRNA from 1 species
GACGAACGCUGGCGGCGUGCCUAACACAUGCAAGUCGAACGGAAAGGUCCUGCUUUUGUGGGGUGCUCGAGUGGCGAACGGGUGAGUAACACGUGAGUACCCUGCCCCUGACUUUGGGAUAACUUCAGGCAACUGGGGCUAAUACCGGAUAGGAGCUCUUGCUGCUUGGUGGGGGUUGGAAAGUUUCGGCGGUUGGGGAUGGACUCGCGGCUUAUCAGCUUGAUGGUGGGGUAGUGGCUUACCAAGGCUUUGACGCGUAGCCGACCUGGGAGGGGGACCGGCCACGUUAGAACUGGGAUACGGCACAGACUCCUACGGGAGGCAAGGGUGGAGAGUAUUACCCAGUGGACGGGGGCCUGGUGCGACGACGCCGCGUGCGGGAAAUCAUGCUUCGGGUUGUAAACCGCUUUCGCCUGUGACGAGGCGUGAGUGACGGUAAUGGGUAAAGAAGCACCGGCUAACUACGUG